rfam:Trichosporon oleaginosus strain IBC0246 unplaced genomic scaffold CC85scaffold_59, whole genome shotgun sequence.
GGUCGUGUGGCGAAAUGGCAUCGCGUUUGACUACGACCCCUCCUCUUCCGAAGACCUGGCCGGUGAUCAAAAGACUGCGGGUUCGAUCCCCGUCAUGACCU